UUUUUUCUUUUGUCUGUUUCCAUUAUCUCUCGUCCAGACAAGAUUCGAGAAUCUGAUUCGAUAAGCAAAACGAAAAGUGUGUGACGAAAAUCUCGAUUUAUUUAAAUGUAUGAACGUUGAGUGAAUAGUGCCUGCCAUCCCGUAAGCCGGUCAUAAUCUCUUACAUUAUGCUGUUGUCGAAAAUGCAUUUAAACUUCUCACUGUGCAUAUUAUCAUAUUGUGGUACUAGGUUUGGAGAUUUCAGAACAAUGCU